rnacentral:rRNA from 1 species
UGCCAGCCGCCGCGGUAAUACGGAGGGUGCAAGCGUUGUUCGGAAUUAUUGGGCGUAAAGCGCGUGUAGGCGGUCUGUUAAGUCUGAUGUGAAAGCCCGGGGCUCAACCCCGGAAGUGCAUUGGAUACUGGCAGACUUGAGUACGGGAGAGGGAAGUGGAAUUCCGAGUGUAGGAGUGAAAUCUGUAGAUAUCAGGAAGAACAUCAGUGGCGAAGGCGAGCUUCUGGCUAUGAACUGACGCUGAGGCGCGAAAGCGUGGGGAGCAAACAGGAUUAGAUA